rnacentral:rRNA from 1 species
CCUACGGGCGGCAGCAGUGGGGAAUAUUGCGCAAUGGGCGAAAGCCUGACGCAGCGACGCCGCGUGAGGGAUGAAGGUCUUCGGAUCGUAAACCUCUGUCAGCAGGGAAGAACGGUCACUGUGCUAAUCAGCAGUGCAUUGACGGUACCUGCAAAGGAAGCACCGGCUAACUCCGUGCCAGCAGCCGCGGUAAUACGGAGGGUGCGAGCGUUAAUCGGAAUUACUGGGCGUAAAGCGCUCGUAGGCGGUAUGUCAAGUCAAGGGUGAAAUCCCCGGGCUCAACGUGGGAACUGCCUUUGAAACUGGCAAACUGGAAUGUGUGAGAGGGGAGUAGAAUUCCAGGUGUAGCAGUGAAAUCCGUAGAUAUCUGGAGGAACAUCAGUGGCGAAGGCGACUAGCUGGAAGAUAACUGACGCUGAGGUGCGAAAGCGUGGGUAGCAAACAGGAUUAGAUACCCGAGUAGUC